rnacentral:rRNA from 1 species
CACGUAGGGCGCAAGCGUUGUCCGGAAUUAUUGGGCGUAAAGAGCUCGUAGGCGGUCUGUUGCGUCCGCUGUGAAAACUCGGGGCUUAACCCCGAGCCUGCAGUGGAUACGGGCAGACUAGAGGUAGGUAGGGGAGAAUGGAAUUCUCGGUGUAGCAGUGAAAUGCGUAGAUAUCGAGAGGAACACCAGUGGCGAAGGCGAGUCCCUGGACAACUCCUGACGCUGAAGCACGAAAGCUAGGGGAGCAAACAGG